rnacentral:rRNA from 1 species
AUUGAACGCUAGCGGGAUGCUUUACACAUGCAAGUCGAACGAGUGGCGGACGGGUGAGUAAUAUAUCGGAACGUGCCCAGUAGCGGGGGAUAACUACUCGAAAGGGUGGCUAAUACCGCAUACUAUCGGAGCGACCGAUAUCGGAUUAGCUAGUUGGUGGGGUAAAGGCUCACCAAGGCAACGAUCCGUAGCUGGUUUGAGAGGACGAUCGGCCACACUGGGACUGAGACACGGCCCAGACUCCUACGGGAGGCAGCAGUGGGGAAUGUUGGACAAUGGGGGAAACCCUGAUACAGCCAUGCCGCGUGUAUGAGAAGGCCUUCGGGUUGUAAAGUACUUUUGGCAGAGAAGCGGUAUCUGCAGAAUAAGCACCGGCUAACUACGUGCCAGCAGCCGCGGUAAUUC